GUGCUCACUGAAGCAGCCCAUAUAAUAAAAUUGGAACAAUACUGAAAUUAGUCUGGCCCCUUCAAAAGGCUGACACACAAAUUCACGAAGUGUUAUAUAUUUUU